rnacentral:rRNA from 1 species
GAUGAACGCUGGCGGCGUGCUUAACACAUGCAAGUCGAACGGAAAGGCCCUGCUUGCGGGGUACUCGAGUGGCGAACGGGCGAGUAAGACGUGGGUGAUCUGCCCUGCACUUCGGGAUAAGUUUGGGCGACUGGGUCUAAUACCGGAUAGGAGCUAUCUUUAGCGGGGUGGUUGAAAAGUUUUUGCGGUGUAGGAUGAGCUCGCGACCUAUCAGCUUGUUGGUGGGGUAAGGGCCUACCAGGGCGGCGAGGGGUAGCCGGCCUGAGAGGAUGUACGGCCACACUGGAACUGAGAUGCGGCCCAGACUCCGAAGGGUGGCGGCAGUGGGGAAUAUUUCACAAUGCGCGCCAGCCUGAUGCAUCGACGCCGCGUGGGCGAUGAAGGCCUUCGGGUGGUAAACACCUUUCGCUAGGGAAGAAGCUUUGUUGUGACGGUACCUAGAUAAGAAGCAACGGCUAACUACGUG